AGUGAACGCUGGCGAUAGGCCUAACACAUGCAAGUCGAACGGCAGCACAGUAAGAGCUUGCUCUUACGGGUGGCGAGUGGCGGACGGGUGAGUAAUACAUCGGAAUCUACUUUUUCGUGGGGGAUAACGUAGGGAAACUUACGCUAAUACCGCAUACGACCUACGGGUGAAAGCAGUGGAUCUUCGGACCUUGCGCGAUUGAAUGAUCCGAUGUCGGAUUAGCUAGUUGGCUGGGCAAAGGCCCACCAAGGCGACGAUCCGUAGCUGGUAUGAUAGGAUGAUCAGCCACACUGGAACAGGAACACGGUCCAGACUCCUACGGGAGGCAGCAGUGGGGAAUAUUGGACCAUGGGCGCAAGCAUGAUCCAGCCGUACCGCGUGGGUGAAGAAGGCCUUCGGGUUGUAAAGCCCUUUUGUUGGGAAAGAAAAGCAGCAGGUUAAUACCCCGCUGUUAUGACGGUACCCAAAGAAUAAGCACCGGCUAACUUCGUG
rnacentral:rRNA from 1 species